rnacentral:rRNA from 1 species
GAAUAUUGGACAAUGGGGGGACCCCUGAUCCAGCCAUGCCGCGAGUGUGAAGAGGGCCUUUUGGUUGUAAAGCACUUUAAGCGAGGAGGAGGCUACUCUAGUUAAUACGUAGGGUGUGUGGACGUUACUAGCAGAUUGAGCACAGGCGCACCCUGUGCCAGCAGCCGCGUUAAUACAGAGGGUGCAAGCGUUAAGCGGAUGUACUGGGAGUAAAGCGCGCGUAGGUAGCAAAUUAAGUAAAAUGUGAAAUCCCCGAGCUUAACGUGGGAAUUGCAUUCGAUACUGGUUGGCUAGAGUAUGGGAGAGGAUGGUAGAAUUCCAGGUGUAGCGGUGAAAUGCGUAGAGAUCUGGAGGAAUACCGAUGGCGAAGGCAGCCAUCUGGCCUAAUACUGACACUGAGGUGCGAAAGCAUGGGGAGCAAACA